rnacentral:rRNA from 1 species
CAGCAGCCGCGGUAAUACGAAGGGGGCUAGCGUUGCUCGGAAUUACUGGGCGUAAAGGGCGCGUAGGCGGACAGUUAAGUUGGGGGUGAAAGCCCGGGGCUCAACCUCGGAAUUGCCUUCAAUACUGGCUGUCUUGAGUACGGGAGAGGUGAGUGGAACUCCGAGUGUAGAGGUGAAAUUCGUAGAUAUUCGGAAGAACACCAGUGGCGAAGGCGACUCACUGGCCCGUUACUGACGCUGAGGCGCGAAAGCGUGGGGAGCAAACAGGAUUAGAUACCCUG